rnacentral:lncRNA from 1 species
UAAGUCUUGAAGCUUGUUUCUGUCUUUAUUCUUUUAGGAAAAGUUCCAUAUCAUUUUACUUUUAUAAUAUCAAAUUUCAAAAGUCCUUUUGGUUAUGGCAAGUUUAGAAAUAAUGAGUCUCCAAUAUCCCUUCAGAAGACUAUAACACACUGCUGUAAUAAUGGAAGGCCUUAUGAGUGAGGACACUUGGAGGCAAUAUCAUGCAACAGGUGAAUUGACUGAUGAAUUUGGGUUUACACGACUGAAGGAUACUGUUAUAGAUGAAAAGUGUGAAAAUGUGUGAAGUUUGGAGAAGCACUCUGAGAUUUUCUUCUAAAAGAAAAAGAAGAGAAGAAACAAUCCAGAAAUGUAUGUGUAUGUUAUGGACAUCUGAAGAACUGUUUGUUCUGUUACUAUGUUUCAUCCCUCAAUUGUUGUGUACAAGUGGACUCCUAAAGAAGAGUUUGUACUGUGCAUAUGGUCUCCAAGUAGCAGAGGGAGAGGGAACCACAGAAUUUUAACUGUGAUUGGGAUGUAUUGUUUGGGAG